GAUGAACGCUGGCGGCGUGCCUAAUACAUGCAAGUCGAGCGAAGCGGGGACGGGUGAGUAACACGUCGAUAACCUCCUAUAAGACUGGGAUAACUUCGGGAAACCGGAGCUAAACCGGAUACUUAUCGAUGGAUCCGCGCUGCAUUAGCUAGUUGGUAAGGUAACGGCUUACCAAGGCAACGAUGCAUAGCCGACCUGAGAGGGUUAGCGGCUAGACUAGAACUGAUGCGCGUUACAGACGCCUACGCGAGUCGGCGGGGGGGAAUCGGCCGCAAUGGGCGAAAGCCUGACGGGGACACGGCACGUGAGGGAGGAGGGUCGUCGGUUCGUAAAACUCUGUUAUUAGGGGAUCCGUAUCCAAUCAAGAAGCCACGGCUAACUACGUGACAGCAGCCGCGGUAAUUC
rnacentral:rRNA from 1 species